ACUCCUACGGGAGGCAGCAGUGGGGAAUAUUGGACAAUGGGCGCAAGCCUGAUCCAGCCAUGCCGCGUGAGUGAUGAAGGCCUUAGGGUUGUAAAGCUCUUUUAUCCGGGACGAUAAUGACGGUACCGGAGGAAUAAGCCCCGGCUAACUUCGUGCCAGCAGCCGCGGUAAUACGAAGGGGGCUAGCGUUGCUCGGAAUCACUGGGCGUAAAGGGCGCGUAGGCGGCGUUUUAAGUCGGGGUGAAAGCCUGUGGCUCAACCACAGAAUGGCCUUCGAUACUGGGGACGCUUGAGUAUGGUAGAGGUUGGUGGAACUGCGAGUGUAGAGGUGAAAUUCGUAGAUAUUCGCAAGAACACCGGUGGCGAAGGCGGCCAACUGGACCAUUACUGACGCUGAGGCGCGAAAGCGUGGGGAGCAAACAGGAUUAGAUACCCUGGUAGCGUC
rnacentral:rRNA from 1 species